rnacentral:rRNA from 1 species
CCUACGGGAGGCAGCAGUGGGGAAUAUUGGACAAUGGGGGGAACCCUGAUCCAGCCAUGCCGCGUGUGUGAAGAAGGCCCUCGGGUUGUAAAGCACUUUCAGUGAGGAAGAACGCCUGUUGGUUAAUACCCAUCAGGAAAGACAUCACUCACAGAAGAAGCACCGGCUAACUCCGUGCCCGCAGCCGCGGUAAUACGGAGGGUGCGAGCGUUAAUCGGAAUUACUGGGCGUAAAGCGCGCGUAGGUGGCUUGAUAAGCCGGUUGUGAAAGCCCCGGGCUCAACCUGGGAACGGCAUCCGGAACUGUCAAGCUAGAGUGCAGGAGAGGAAGGUAGAAUUCCCGGUGUAGCGGUGAAAUGCGUAGAUAUCGGGAGGAAUACCAGUGGCGAAGGCGGCCUUCUGGACGGACACUGACACUGAGGUGCGAAAGCGUGGGUAGCAAACAGGAUUAGAUACCCUAGUAGUC